GAACUUUUUGUCUGGUGCCCUAACCCUUACUGUCCUAACCAGCUAUGGCAUGUCUGAUUGCUUUCAGCUGUAGAAAAGAAAUAUAACGGCUGAUUUAUGUCAGCACAUAGAAUGCAGUGCUUGGUUUUUAGGAGACUGGGGAAUCUUGCAAGUGUACAAUGUGAAAAAUCUUCUCUCUGCCUUUCCCAGAGUACCAAGGAAGUAUCUCCAGGGAGCUGCAGGGAAAAUCAAGCUGAAGAUGUAGUAGACAUUGGGUUCAGAGCUCAGCAGGAUGUGACAUUUUAUUGUACUGCUUUUGAGCUGCUUUAUUCCCUGGAAACUCUUAUGCUGUCCUGGCCUUAAAGUCAAGUUUGCCACAUGAACAAAUGCAUAUCAAAUGAUGACAGAUCUACAAGUAAAGGAUUCACACAAGGCACAGAGUGGGCAAGAUGACCUCUGGGAGCAACCAGUACAACAUCACCAGGACCAAGGUGAGCCUUGCUUUAAGGAGAUGACUGGACUAGUGGACUUUUACAGGUCCUCGUCACAGUCUCCUACCAUAUCUUAAUGGAUGGAGGACAAGGGCACUACAAGGUUCCCACCUUCCCUUUUGCUUUGGAGUGGCUCCACCAAGUCAUUUUGCUGGCCAGAGUGGAAUGCUUCCUUUCUGGAACUGGACUUACAUUCCACCUCCCCUUCCUUGUCCUCAUCUCCAUCCCCCAU
rnacentral:lncRNA from 1 species